rnacentral:rRNA from 1 species
AUUGAACGCUGGCGGAAUGCUUUACACAUGCAAGUCGAGCGGCAGCGCGGGGGCAACCCUGGCGGCGAGCGGCGAACGGGUGAGUAACAUAUCGGAACGUACCCAGUCGUGGGGGAUAACUAUCCGAAAGGAUAGCUAAUACCGCAUACGUCCUGAGGGAGGAAAGCGGGGAGUCGCAAGACCUCGCGCGAUUGGAGCGGCCGAUAUCGGAUUAGCUAGUUGGUGGGGUAAAGGCUCACCAAGGCGACGAUCCGUAGCGGGUCUGAGAGGACGACCCGCCACACUGGAACUGAGACACGGUCCAGACUCCUACGGGAGGCAGCAGUGGGGAAUUUUGGACAA